rnacentral:rRNA from 11 species
AGCUUGUAUAAUUUACCCUGCAGGUCCCAGAUCCUAACUGAUCUUGGAAGCUAAGCAGGUUCAAGUCAGGUUAUUACCUGUAUGGGAGACUGCCAAAAGAUACCAGGUGCUAUAUGCUA